rnacentral:rRNA from 1 species
AUGCAGAUAGUCAAUUCUCCAAUGGCAUCCGGCAAAUUCCUCCACCUCAAGUUCUCAAGUAUUCUUCUUAUGAGUGGAUCUAAUUUUGCCAAGGACUACGAUUAUUUAUCGUUGGUUCUUGUUUUCCAAGCAUCUCCUUCCCUGGAAACGUUUCGCUUGUUUGUAUGGGAGCACUCCAUGUAUCACUGGUUUAAGGGAGAUCCUGCCUCUCUGAGGCGACUGCCACAACACUGCCAUGGGAACCUCAAGAGUGUGAAGAUCAUUGGUUUCUUCCCGCAAAAGAGCAUGAUUGAGCUGGCAUGUCGUCUUCUCGAGAAUGCAACGUCACUUGAGUCCCUUACAGUGGAUGCUAGUCCUGCUGAUUACUGUUGUUCUGGCAGUAAACCGGGCAGGAAAUGUUGUCCCCGGAAAGCUACAGCUAUAGUGAAGGCACGUAAACCAGUCUUGGCUGUGAAAAAAUACAUUGAGGGGAAUGUUCCCUCUACAGUCAAGUUAAAUGUUCCAGAGCCUUGCCGACGAUGCCAUCGCUUUGAGUAA